CCCCCCUUCAUGGAGACUGGAACCUGUGGAUAGAAAGAGAUUCAAUGGUGCGCUAAGGAGAAAAGGCCUGACUAAAAGUGGAGGAACUGGCACCACGGAAGAACUAUACUACAGAGGCUACAUGUGGAUGAGUGGGAAUGGAUCUGUUGAGGCGGUAUGCAAAUUAGAGUGGGUCCAAGGUGACAGUGCAUGCAUUCAACAAGCUUGGGACAAAGGACUUCCACUGGGCCGCCAUCUCCAAAGUUCACCCAAACAAGCAAUAGUUCUGAACUGGGCUUGAUUUUGUUUCUGUUGUUUUAGUUAUUUCAAUUUUGUUCAUUCUCUUCUAAACAUCCAUUGGUUGAAAGCUCAUUGUAAUGUCGUCCCCCCUUUAAACAUCCUAAGGUCCACAUCCCCAUAGUGUUCGCAUUUCUCUCUUGUAAAUGUUGUAGCUACAUUAAAUGAACAGUUUAUUUGGGAAAUGUUCAGUCUUUAAAUAAAGUUAAAUAAAGGUUAAA